UUUUUAUGAGAUGAUAGAUUUACAAGUUGCAUCAUCAAAUUCAAUAUGUCAACUUCAACUUUGAUGUUUGGAGUGAAAGCUAAUUCAACUUUUUUGAGCAUGUGAUAUGAGGCUACAUUAUAGGUCACUUUUGACCUAUACCAUUGAUCAAGUGAUUUUUCCAAACAUAAAAAAUGCAUAACUCUAUCAUGCAAUUUCGUCAUAAGCAUUAGCAUUGGGAUCAUACCUUGGUGUAAUACCCCAAAAU
rnacentral:lncRNA from 1 species